CUCAAAGCAGGAGAAAUAUGGAAUGACUAACAAACCCCGAGGAGAGCCUGAGGAGGCGGUUUGUAAAACUGAUUUUUGAAUAGGUUCAAUUUUUCAUGUUUUAUUUGCUAGUAAAGUAAAGUGAUUGAUUAUAACUGGGUGUGGUGCUUUUAUUAGCAACGAUCGAACAAAGGUGAAAGAGGUGUCUUCCGAAGUAUCAAAGUAUAUCCACUGGAACCAAAUGACAAGAGACUUAACUAUGAACCACCUACAUAUUUACUUAGCAAGCUGUCCCUGGUUUCUGAAGUGAAAAAACCUGCAAAACUGCCAUCUAAGGUGCAGGCAAUUUCCUAGGUUCAGCUAUCUUAGCACUCAUAUAACAACUUAAGAUUCUUUUGAGUGGGUAAAGGUUUAUUGAAAGAGAUUCAGAAAAGCAUUUUCUUUGAAUGAUAUUUUAAAGCUUACAUUAG